CAUAUCAAUAAGCGGAGGAAAAGAAACCAACAGGGAUUGCCCCAGUAACGGCGAGUGAAGCGGCAAAAGCUCAAUAUUGAAAGCUACGGCAUUGUAACGGGGGUCCUAGGAGCGGUUGUGGUGUAUGUCUGUUGGAACACAGCGUCACAGAGGGUGAGAAUCCCGUGCCAUCACAACUCAACCACAUAGCUCCCCCAACCGAGUCGAGUUGUUUGGGAAUGCAGCUCUAAGCGGGAGGUAUAUUUCUUCUAAAGCUAAAUACUGGCGAGAGACCGAUAGCGAACAAGUACAGUGAUGGAAAGAUGAAAAGCACUUUGAAAAGAGAGUGAAACAGUACGUGAAAUUGUUGAAAGGGAAGGGUAGGCGAUCAGAGGGGAGGGUCAGGUGGAUGUGUGUAAGAAAAGCGGACGUGCGGCCUCGGCUACCACGCCGUCAAUUACACACGCCCGCCUGAGGCCCGCUUAUAGGACUCUCCCAUAAUGAUCAUCUACCACCCGUCUUG
rnacentral:rRNA from 1 species